rnacentral:rRNA from 1 species
AACGAACGCUGGCGGCAGGCUUAACACAUGCAAGUCGAACGGUUGUAGCAAUACAGCAGUGGCAGACGGGUGAGUAACACGUGGGAACCUUCCUAGGGGUACGGAACAACUCAGGGAAACUUGAGCUAAUACCGUAUACGUCCGUGAGGAGAAAGAUUUAUCGCCCUUAGACGGGCCCGCGUCGGAUUAGCUAGUUGGUGGGGUAACGGCCUACCAAGGCGACGAUCCGUAGCUGAUCUUAGAGGAUGAUCAGCCACACUGGAACUGAGACACGGCCCAGACUCCUACGGGAGGCAGCAGUGGGGAAUCUUGGACAAUGGGCGCAAGCCUGAUCCAGCCAUGCCGCGUGAGUGAAGAAGGUCUUCGGAUUGUAAAGCUCUUUUGCCAGGGACGAUAAUGACGGUACCUGGAGAAUAAGCCCCGGCAAACUUCGUGCCAGCAGCCGCGGU